UACAGAGGUGGCAAGCGUUGUUCGGAAUUACUGGGCGUAAAGGGCGCGUAGGCGGUCUUUUAAGUUCCGUGUGAAAUCCCUCGGCUCAACUGGGGAACGGCACGGGAAACUGGAAGGCUUGAGUUCGGGAGAGGGAAGCGGAAUUCCGGGUGUAGCGGUGAAAUGCGUAGAUAUCCGGAGGAACACCGGUGGCGAAGGCGGCUUCCUGGACCGACACUGACGCUGAGGCGCGAAAGCCAGGGGAGCAAACGGG
rnacentral:rRNA from 1 species